GAACUUAUUACUCUACUGCUCUGCUAUACGUACAGUGAAAUCCCUGUGCCAUAGAUCUCUCUCCUUUUUGCUCUCGUUUUCUCAAGCCCUAGGUUUCUUUCUCUAGGUUUCCACUUUCUUGUUGUUUGUUGUUGUUUAUUAAGGUUCACGUUACGUGUUGAAUGUGUUUCCACUGCUUUAGGGGUUUGGUGGAUUUAGGGAUUUGCUGGAUGUGAAAUUGUGGGUUUCAUUUCAUAAAGGGGAACAUUUUCAUUAGUUGCUUAUUUUGAGCCAGUGAUUCUUAAUUAUUGUUAUCUUGGUGGUUUUGUUGGUUGGGGUUUUUGGGGGAAGAUAAGGUUUUGGUGUGGUGAUAUUCUAGUCUUUUUUAUGUUUUUUGGAACUGUGAGUUACUGGAUUUGAUAAAGGAUUGACAUUUUAUAGCAAAUGAGUAGUCAUGAGUUGUCCGUGAUUGUGGAGUUUUGACUGUUUGGUUGUUGUGAAGUGUAAUAUUGAAUUGAAUAUUGUUUUAUUCAUUUGAUUGUGCUGCUGCAAAAAGAGGAUUGAUAGAAUUUGGAGUUACAUAGCGUAGAUUCUUUUCUUUAUUUCUCUACGGAAUAUUAUUUGGUUGUGUUUGAUGAAAAUGGGAAAGGAAGAAGAGUAUAGGAUUGUUAAAAUGAGAAAUUUGAAGAGUAAUUAUUGAUUCUAAAGCAGGGUGUUGUAGCUUGUAGGAGGUGGUUUUUGCGCAUAAUGGGAUGCAUUUGCUCUAAACCCUCUGCAAUUGAGGAUAGCAAAGAGAGCCCAAGAGAGCGGCUCACUAGCGAAGCCUCAUCAGACUUGCGGGUAUCAAGGGCCACCUCUUCUAGGAGGGAGGAAGCAUAUAGAGCGAAAGAUCGAUAUGAUAGUAAUGAUGGAAGGGCAAUGUUGAUUGAUAAGCACUCAAAUGGUUCAGUUAGAUUGCAUGGAGGUGAGAACGUUGAUAGAGAGAGGGAGAAGAUGGAAAAUGCUGUUGCUCAACAUCCAGGGAUGGGUAGUAUACCAAAAGCGACUGAAGGGGAGCAGGUUGCAGCGGGAUGGCCUUCCUGGCUAGCUGCAGUGGCUGGAGAGGCAAUCAGAGGAUGGCUGCCACGGCGUGCAGAUUCUUUUGAGAAGCUAGAUAA
rnacentral:misc_RNA from 1 species